rnacentral:rRNA from 1 species
AACACAUGCAAGUCGAACGGUAACAGGAAACAGCUUGCUGUUUCGCUGACGAGUGGCGGACGGGUGAGUAAUGUCUGGGAAACUGCCUGAUGGAGGGGGAUAACUACUGGAAACGGUAGCUAAUACCGCAUAACGUCGCAAGACCAAAGAGGGGGACCUUCGGGCCUCUUGCCAUCGGAUGUGCCCAGAUGGGAUUAGCUUGUUGGUGGGGUAACGGCUCACCAAGGCGACGAUCCCUAGCUGGUCUGAGAGGAUGACCAGCCACACUGGAACUGAGACACGGUCCAGACUCCUACGGGAGGCAGCAGUGGGGAAUAUUGCACAAUGGGCGCAAGCCUGAUGCAGCCAUGCCGCGUGUAUGAAGAAGGCCUUCGGGUUGUAAAGUACUUUCAGCGGGGAGGAA